AUUGCAUGUUCCAAGCUAUGAACAAACCUGUGGUAAGACGCUUCUUCUGGCCCCCUGAUAUGCCUCUCCUCAUCACAUCUCCAAUCAAAGUUUCUGCACAAAUGUCGAGUCCAAGAAUCUGCAAAUGCGACCGAAGACAUAAGAACCAAACAAGAAGGGGCAGAGUUUCAGCCGAGCUACCAAAGAGACUAUAAUACCUUCAAGAUGUAAUCUGUUUGCAGACUUCUUUCAAGUCCUUCAACAGAUAUUGCCUACAGGAAACAAAAAGUUCUAAUCAACCACAGAGCUUAAAGGUUAGGCUCAAGGGAUAAGAGAGUGUUAGAGGAACGUACUUUCAUGAAACGAAAGAAUCAUGAUACAUUUUUCUUAAUGCACUCUGAGGAGACAUUGAUUGGUUGGUUUAUGAAUCCUACCUGUUCGGCUUCCAACACCCUGACAACGAGCUGAGAAGUCGACUGUCUCCCUCACUGUCAUCUCAGCAAUGUGCAGAUCAUAUUGGCUUAUGUACGCCGAUGUUUUCUGAGGAACAAACUCGUCAAGUCUAUGCCCAUUGUAGGAGAUUUCACCUGAACACUGUGGAAACAGAAAAGGAGGACCAAGCAACAAUGUUAACCUGCAAGAGCAAGAAGAUUUAUUAAACACACUUUGAUGGCAUAAAGGUUUGAUCAGAACUUGCAAGAAGACGACUACUAACCUUCCCGGUUUUAUAAUGCCAUUGACAUCAUUAAGAAUGCUUAUCUUGGCUUCUCGUGUUUUUGCACCAGUGAGCUUCACCAGUUCCUGGAUAAAAUCAAUACAAUAAAAAUUUCAAACUCGGAGGCUUUAAAGCACUCACAGAAUCAAGACAGCAACAGCUUUUUGAGUGUGCAGAAGUUGUUACUCACAGACAAAACACGCGUAGCAGUGUUCCACAGUGUUGGAAGUGCCUUCCCUUCAACAAUCUCGCACUCUGCCUCCACUUUUAAACCCUCAUACCUCACUUCUAUGGUCGGUAACUCCAUUCCAACUCUGCACAACCCAGUUUUAAUCUCAAAGUCCAAGAAUCCGAAAGAGUUAAGAUUAUUACUUACCUGUCUAUUCUUCUCCUGAUUUUCUUGAGCAACUUGAGAUUAUCAUUCUCAAUGUGUUUGAUGAGUUUCUCAAUCAUCAGAUGGCGUUCCAUGGCUCCAAGCUUCGUGACAUCAACGACUCUUUUUCCUUUCUCAGUCAUGGACUCAUCACCAUCAUCAAGGAGAGUCGAUCUCAUGCGUUUCACGGUUGGCAAUCUCUCGAUCUCAGCCCAUUGCAGAGCAUACUCUGCAUUAGUAUCAUUGCCCUCACCAUCAUGAUCAGGUUCAUACCUCGAAGAGCCGCUUCUGAAACUCGAGGUGUGUCUAUGGAACGAUGAUCUGAUGCUUCUUCCAAUCUCUGCAAGCUCCACUCUCAACGACUCAAUCUCGUCUGCUCCAGCCAUAUUAGCCAUGGCUGUGGCUUAAUGAGUUUGAGCUCUCUGUUAUCAGAAACUCAAAAGUCUAAUUGAUAUGUAAGCCUAACUGUUUUGACUUGCAGACAUAUAUAUAGUUAUACAUUGUUCAAACUGAUACGCUUCAAUGAUGUAAGUGAAUACAUCAGCUUUUCUUCUUAGUUCUUGAAA